UACGUAGGGGGCAAGCGUUGUCCGGAUUUAUUGGGCGUAAAGAGCGUGUAGGCGGCCUGGCAAGUCCGCUGUGAAAACUCGAGGCUCAACCUCGAGACGCCGGUGGAAACCGUGUGGCUAGAGUCCGGAAGAGGAGAGUGGAAUUCCUGGUGUAGCGGUGAAAUGCGCAGAUAUCAGGAAGAACACCCGUGGCGAAGGCGGCUCUCUGGGACGUGACUGACGCUGAGACGCGAAAGCGUGGGGAGCAAACAGG
rnacentral:rRNA from 1 species